rnacentral:rRNA from 1 species
UACGUAGGGUGCAAGCGUUAUCCGGAUUUAUUGGGCGUAAAGGGCUCGUAGGCGGUUCGUCGCGUCCGGUGUGAAAGUCCAUCGCUUAACGGUGGAUCCGCGCCGGGUACGGGCGGGCUUGAGUGCGGUAAGGGAGACUGGAAUUCCCGGUGUAACGGUGGAAUGUGUAGAUAUCGGGAAGAACACCAAUGGCGAAGGCAGGUCUCUGGGCCGUUACUGACGCUGAGGAGCGAAAGCGUGGGGAGCGAACAGG